rnacentral:rRNA from 1 species
UACGUACCGUCCAAACGUUAUUCGGAAUUACUGGGCUUAAAGGGCUCGUAGGCGGCCAACUAAGUCGGAUGUGAAAUCCCCAGGCUCAACUUGGGAACUGCAUCCGAUACUGGAUGGCUUGAAUUCGGGAGAGGGAUGCAGAAUUCCAGGUGUAGCGGUGAAAUGCGUAGAUAUCUGGAGGAAUACCGGUGGCGAAGGCGGCAUCCUGGACCGACAUUGACGCUGAGGAGCGAAAGCUGGGGGGAGCAAACGGG